rnacentral:rRNA from 1 species
UACGAAGGGGGGCUAGCGUUGCUCGGAAUCACUGGGCGUAAAGCGCACGUAGGCGGCUUUCUAAGUCAGGGGUGAAAUCCUGGAGCUCAACUCCAGAACUGCCCUUGAUACUGGCGGUCUCGAGUCCGGGAGAGGUGAGUGGAACUGCGAGUGUAGAGGUGAAAUUCGUAGAUAUUCGCAAGAACACCAGUGGCGAAGGCGGCUCACUGGCCCGGUACUGACGCUGAGGUGCGAAAGCGUGGGGAGCAAACAGG